UUACCACCAUUAAAUCCUUGUGGCUAGUUGGAUUGUCGUAUCUUUGCAAAUUAAGUUUCUCAGCUCUAAUGGAAAUGAAAUAAAAAAAUGGGAAUGGUUACUGAUGUUAAAUGAGGAGUUAUAUUGUGAGGUAUGGAGAACUGAAAAAUGUACCUGUGGUCGGGGACUUUGUUAUUUGAUAAUUUUGAUUUUUGUAGUUUUAAUUAUUGCCGAGUUAAUUUUGUUUGUUAAAUUAAUUAUAAUGAUAAUAAUUGUUUUUUGUUAGUUUAAUUAAUGGUGUGAUUAUUUUAUGUUAAAUAUGAAAGAAAAAAAAAUUUUUUUGUUAUAUGCAAAUCACUACAGAAAUAAAAGAGCCACCACGAUGUGCCAUGUUGUUCCUCUCGUUUUCUUGUGCUGCUGAUUGUUAGGAUGGACUUUGAUAUCCAGGAUUUUAUUACGCUGUUUUGAUGUAUGUUUGUUCAAACCGACUGGUGUGGUUUGUUCUAAUUGGAAACUACUUUUGGUGCAUAUAUUGGUUAUUGUUCAGUUUAUGGCGCAGCAGACUGGCCGUUUAUUUAAAGGAAGGAAUAAUUGCCGUUUUUUGUAUUAAUCAGUUUGAAAGUAGUUUGUAUUUUUGGUAUUCUGGUGAUGAUAAAGUGCUGUUGGAAAUUAUGGAGUUCUUAACUGACUUGGUAAAUACCACGUUGAGAUGGCGUGAGGGAGUUGGCAAUUCAGGUGAAGAUAUCUACUACGAGGAACGCGGCUAAAGAGGAGCCACAGGGACAACAUCAGUAUAGAGAUGGGGAUGAACCGCCCUUCCCCACAACAUGUAUGUUUAUCUAAUUUAGAGUUAUAUCUUGAUAUAAUUUCUCAAAAUCAAUCACGUCCUUCUCAUUAAUAAAAUCACAUCCUUCUCAUUAUUAAUUUCAAUAAAAC
rnacentral:lncRNA from 1 species